rnacentral:rRNA from 1 species
AUUGAACGCUGGCGGUAUGCUUAACACAUGCAAGUCGAACGGUAGCAGGCCUUCGGGCGCUGACGAGUGGCGGACGGGUGAGUAACGCGUAGGAAUCUGCCUCAUAGUGGGGGACAACGUGGGGAAACUCACGCUAAUACCGCAUACGCCCUACGGGGGAAAGCGGGGGAACUUCGGACCUCGCGCUAUGAGAUGAGCCUGCGUUAGAUUAGCUAGUUGGUAGGGUAAAGGCCUACCAAGGCGACGAUCUAUAGCUGGUCUGAGAGGACGAUCAGCCACACUGGGACUGAGACACGGCCCAGACUCCUACGGGAGGCAGCAGUGGGGAAUAUUGGACAAUGGGCGCAAGCCUGAUCCAGCAAUACCGCGUGUGUGAAGAAGGCCCUAGGGUUGUAAAGCACUUUCAAUAGGGAGGAAAACCUGUCGGCCAAUACCCGGCAGCUUGACAUUACCUAUACAAGAAGCACCGGCUAACUCCGUGCCAGCAGCCGCCGUAAUAC